AAUAGAUACCCGGGUAGUCCACGCCGUAAACGGUGAGUGCUAAGUGUUAGAGGGUUUCCGCCCUUUAGUGCUGCAGCUAACGCAUUAAGCACUCCGCCUGGGGAGUACGGCCGCAAGGCUGAAACUCAAAGGAAUUGACGGGGGCCCGCACAAGCGGUGGAGCAUGUGGUUUAAUUCGAAGCAACGCGAAGAACCUUACCAGGUCUUGACAUCCUCUGACAACCCUAGAGAUAGGGCUUUCCCCUUCGGGGGACAGAGUGACAGGUGGUGCAUGGUUGUCGUCAGCUCGUGUCGUGAGAUGUUGGGUUAAGUCCCGCAACGAGCGCAACCCUUGAUCUUAGUUGCCAGCAUUCAGUUGGGCACUCUAAGGUGACUGCCGGUGACAAACCGGAGGAAGGUGGGGAUGACGUCAAAUCAUCAUGCCCCUUAUGACCUGGGCUACACACGUGCUACAAUGGAUGGUACAAAGGGCUGCAAACCUGCGAAGGUAAGCGAAUCCCAUAAAGCCAUUCUCAGUUCGGAUUGCAGG
rnacentral:rRNA from 1 species